rnacentral:rRNA from 1 species
CCCUCAGACGUUCUGGGCCGCACGCGCGCUACACUGACGAAGGCAACGAGCUUUCCUUUACCGAAAGGUACGGGUAAUCUUUUGAAACUUCGUCGUGCUGGGGAUAGAUCCUUGCAAUUGUUGAUCUUAAACGAGGAAUGCCUAGUAAGCGCAAGUCAUCGACUUGCGUUGAUUACGUCCCUGCCCUUUGUACACACCGCCCGUCGCUACUACCGAUUGAAUGGUUUAGUGAGGCCUUCGGAUCCGCGACUCGUUUGUGGAGAAGUUGGACAAACUCAGUCAUUUAGAGGAAGUAAAAGUCGUAACA